UUAAGCUUCUCAUCUCUUUCCACAUCUGCAGCAAUUACAACUAAGCCUGGAACAAAGAAAGUGCCCACCAGGCCUACCAGAAGAGCCGAGGAUCACAAGAAGAUUAAAUUUUACUCAUUAGAUUGUAGCUAACAAGGCAGGAGAAUGUCCUGAUACAUGUAACAAUGAUUUCCAAUAACCUGCUCUGUGACCUUGGAAAAUUCACUUAACUGCUCUGAACCUCACUUUUAAUAUUUGUCAAAUUAAAUGAUUGAAGGGGAUAAUCUGAAGUUCUUCAGAUAACUAAAAGUCAAUGAUUUUUAAGAGGUAGCCAAAAAAAAAAAAAACCACACACUUCAGUUCAAAAAUGUCCUUCCAGCCAGAAAAUUAAAUUACUAAAGCACUUCUCAGAGCCAUCAGUGGCUCCCAAAA